CUUGAACUUGGCCCUAUGUAGGGCCUCAAUCACAUGCUCCUUGUUUUGCAACUUGGUACGGAUGGACAUGAUGACUUGGCCAAUGUGGACCCUGGCCACUGUGCCCUUGGGCUUUCCAAAGGCACCCCGCAUACCUGACUGGCUCUUAUACAAAUCUC